rnacentral:rRNA from 1 species
UAAGGAAUAUUGGUCAAUGGACGCAAGUCUGAACCAGCCAUGCCGCGUGGAGGAUUAAGGCCCUCUGGGUUGUAAACUCCUUUUAUCUGGGAAGAAAUGUACUUUUUCUUGAGUACUUGACGGUACCAGAGGAAUAAGCACCGGCUAACUCCGUGCCAGCAGCCGCGGUAAUACGGAGGGUGCAAGCGUUAUCCGGAUUCACUGGGUUUAAAGGGUGCGUAGGUGGGCAGGUAAGUCAGUGGUGAAAUCUCCGGGCUUAACCCGGAGACUUCCCUUGAUACUAUUUGGCUUGAAUAUUGUGGAGGUAAGCGGAAUAUGUCAUGUAGCGGUGAAAUGCUUAGAUAUGACAUAGAACACCAAAUGCGAAGGCAGCUUACUACACAAUCAUUGACGCUGAGGCACGUAAGCGUGGGGAUCAAACA